GACGAACGCUGGCGGCGUGCUUAACACAUGCAAGUCGAACGGAAAGGCGAUGCGCUUGCGGGGUGCACGAGUGGCGAGCGGGGGAGAAUAACGCGAGUAAACUCCCCCUGAAUUUGGGAGAUCACCACGAAAAAGGGGCUCAAAUCGCAUAGGAGAUAUUGCUGCAUGGGGGGGGAUAGUAAGUUACGGCGGUUGUGGAUGGACUAGCGGCUUAUCAGCUUGUUUGUGGGGUAGUUGCUUACCAAGGCUUUGAAGGAUAGCAGGCCUGGGAGGGUGACCGGCGACAAUGGGACUGAGGUACGGACCAGAAUGCUACGGUAGGCAGCAGUGGAGAAUAUUGCAGAGUGGCCGGGAGCCAGAUGUGGCAGCGCCGCGAGCGGGAUAAUGGCCUUCGGGUUGUAAACCGCUUUCGACGGUGCUGAAGAGUGCGUGACGGUAAUGGGUAAAGAAGCACCGGCUAACUACGUG
rnacentral:rRNA from 1 species